ensembl:ncRNA K12G11.10 ncRNA
GAGCAACAUUAUUCGAAACACGAUACUACGUGGCCCUUUUCUCUCUUUUGAUGUGACAUCUGAUGACCAUCGGAAUUGGAGCAUGUGAAUCACGCACAAAUAGAAA